AAGACAUGCAAGUCGAACGGUUUUUAUUGAAGCGCAAGCAGAUAUAAAAGCAGUGGCGAACGGGUGAGUAAUGCGUGACCGACCUGCCCCAUACACCGGAAUAGCUCCUGGAAACGGGUGGUAAUGCCGGAUGCUCCAGUUGAUCGCAUGGUCUUCUGGGAAAGCUUUCGCGGUAUGGGAUGGGGUCGCGUCCUAUCAGCUUGACGGCGGGGUAACGGCCCACCGUGGCUUCGACGGGUAGCCGGCCUGAGAGGGCGACCGGCCACAUUGGGACUGAGAUACGGCCCAGACUCCUACGGGAGGCAGCAGUGGGGAAUAUUGCACAAUGGGCGCAAGCCUGAUGCAGCGACGCCGCGUGAGGGAUGGAGGCCUUCGGGUUGUAAACCUCUUUUAUCGGGGAGCAAGCGAG
rnacentral:rRNA from 1 species